rnacentral:rRNA from 1 species
GAUGAACGCUGGCGGCGUGCUUAACACAUGCAAGUCGAGCGAUGAAGUUUCCUUCGGGAAACGGAUUAGCGGCGGACGGGUGAGUAACACGUGGGUAACCUGCCUCAUAGAGUGGAAUAGCCUUCCGAAAGGAAGAUUAAUACCGCAUAACGUUGAAAGAUGGCAUCAUCAUUCAACCAAAGGAGCAAUCCGCUAUGAGAUGGACCCGCGGCGCAUUAGCUAGGUGGUGGGGUAACGGCCUACCAAGGCGACGACGCGUAGCCGACCUGAGAGGGUGAUCGGCCACAUUGGGACUGAGACACGGCCCAGACUCCUACGGGAGGCAGCAGUGGGGAAUAUUGCACAAUGGGGGAAACCCUGAUGCAGCAACGCCGCGUGAGUGAUGAAGGUUUUCGGAUCGUAAAGCUCGGUCUUUGGGGAAGAUAAUGACGGUACUCAAGGAGGAAGCCACGGCUAACUACGUGCCAGCCGCCGCCGUAA